GGGAAGGAGGGGACCAUGAGGACCCUCAGGGGUCUGAGCACUGGACUUGGAGUCCUCUAGACCAGUGCUCCAGUCCCAGCUCUGCCAUCCCAGCCCUGCAAUCUUAGGCAACUCGCUUUGCCUCAGUUUCUUCAUAUAUAAAAUGGGGGCAAGGGGACCUGCCCUGAGGUGCUAUGAGUGUGCCAGGUGCUGGAUCUAAAGGGGUGCACACAGUAGAUGCUAAGUAAGUGCUCCUCAGGGGUGGAGAGGAGGGAAGGGAGGCAUCCAAUUACCGUAGUCCAGGCCCUUCUGGGAGAUCCUGACCACGACGCCAGGGUUGACGGCCGCUGUCACGGCGGUGCCUAUGGCGACCAGCACCAGCAGGGACGCCCAUCUCGGCGCGUUGCAGGGGCCCCUGGCCAUGUUCUCUCUCAUCCUCCAGAGCUGCCAAAACCUCAAGGCCUUGAGGUGGAACCAGGGAGCUAUAAAAGAGUCGGCUGGGGAAAUGCAAGUCAGUAGAAUGUGGAAAGGAGGAAGGAACCUGGUGAGGGUGGGAAAGAGGGAGGGCCGCUGUGGUUUUCCAUUGUGGUUAGGGCCCCACAGGCAGGGAGAAGUGCAGCCUGGGAGGCUCGCAUGUGCAUGUAUGCAUGCGUGUGUGUGCGCGGGCGUGCGUGUGUGUAUGUGUGUGUGUAGAUUGGUUGCAGAAUGUCUGUCAGUUUGGGUUUGGCUGUUGUUUCCUUGGGACUGGAUUCAGGUCGUGCCCUCUGAGCAGGGAAACCACAGAAGCGACGCUGCGUUCUUCUCAGUGCAGCGGAUCAUGUGACAUCAAAUGGCCCUAUUGCUGGGGAUAUUUCUGUUGGCCGUGUGAUUAAGGUGGAGGUGUAAUACAUGAGGAGGGGCCAGCAGAUGGGAGUCACUGGCCAGUGGGUGCCAGGGUGGCCUCCCCAAGGACCUCACCUGAGUCACCCCAUCUGGGGUGGCCAGGGUAGCAGGAAGGCACCCAGGGAUCUCAGGGCAGUGUCUAGAUACCAACCAGCAGCAAGUGUCCCUGCACCCACGGCUGUCCUUAGGCAGAGCCCUGAGCAGGCAAAUAUUUGGAGUCACCUCAAAUCAGCAUUUGAGGACCAUUCUGGCAGCCCAAUUUCACAUGACCCCACCAAAGUAACAUUGCGCUGGCCAGCAGGGAUGAUCAGC
rnacentral:lncRNA from 1 species